GCAUCCUCCUCUCGAACACCAACUGCCAUCAUGUCUUCCCUCACGACAUCCAUCAACCUUCUCUUUGGUCUUCCUCUAGCUCUCUUGCCUGGCAGCUCCAUCCUCAUCAUCCUUCUACCAAUAUACUCACUCUCUCUCCUCUGGACGUGUCCAAACCAUUGCCGAAAGGAGCUGUUUGCAUUUUGAAAUCAGUGACGCCUUUUGACUGCUAAGUCCCUCCUGUACAGUAAUUGGCGCUAUGUACCACAAAGAGUUGUAGUCCACAUUUAUUAGGUGAAGAAGAAGAAUCGCCGCAGAAGAAGAUAAUCUACGACGUCAUUCUAAAGUAAGGUUUACGACUGUGGUGUCCUACCUAAUGAGUCACUGCUUAGAAACAAUUUUGUGUUCAGAUAGCAGAUCGUUUUGCUAGCAGCCACGGGUAUCAAGCUAAAGUUAGCAUGGAGUGACAUCUCAUGGCGGUAAAAACGAAAACUUAUCACUCAGCGCUUGCAGUGUUUCAAUAAGCAGCAAAUAGGUAUAGCCUACCUGUAAUUCAAGUGAAUUCUGCCUUUUUAUUUCAGUAUUUUGUCUGUUUUAUUUUAUUAUUUGAUUCAAGAAGUCUGCAUUUUUCAACUACAAAAAAAAGAAGUCUGCUUGUUCAUGUUUCAUAUAGAUAAACUUCAUGUUUUCAGCAUAAAGGCUUUUGUAUGACUGGGCUAUUUUUUGUGUGAAAUAAAUUUGAGUUGCUAAAGAAUGUCAAAAAUGUAGGUUGUGACUUAAUGACUAAGUUAAAUUUUGGGUCCUGAGGCAAAACCAGUUGGGAACCACUGAGAAGCUGAACGUUUGAAUAUUAAACAGUGGUCUAUUUCCCCUGACGUUUUUUAGGCUUUAAGUGGGGAUUUGUUAACAUUGUUCAAUUAUAAGUGAUGCUAAGAGUAACAAAACUGGCCUAUUUUUUCCCCAUAGGGUCUGUUGAGAAAUGGAAAGACAGGGGGACAAGACAUAUAACUUCUUUUUAAAGAGAAGCAAGUCAGGUUCAGCGUCUACAACUCAUAACUCCAAGUUCACCGCAUAGUUGAGUUGCCGAUCACCUUAAACGAGUGACACGAGCGCACGAGUUUGUGUGGGAAAAGGGCGAGCCGGAAGUCGAUACCCAUCCUGCUCAAUCACCUCUGACCGCUCCACACGGGGAUUGUGUUGCCGCAAUCCCACUCCCUGUGGCUACCUAACAUCCUGCAUGAUCAGACGGAGAGAUGAGCGAAGUGGGGGUGGGGGCGAGAAGAGGUGGAGCAGAAUGGAAGAUCAGCAUCCCUUUUAUGCCUGAACGAGAGGAGGAAGCGGGCCCGAGGAGCGACAGAGGGGCCCCACCGCCCCCACCAGCAGCCAGAGCAGGUGACCCAGGUGGGCACCAGCUGCCACCGCUCCAGCACCCAUGGAACAUGGGGAUGAAAAAUGGGGUCUGACUUAUUCUGGAUAAGACCCCGCCGAUAUCAGUCAGAUUUUUUAUGGCGGUUUCUGGUGAGGGGGGAUGGGAGGAAGAUCUUGGCUUGGUGUGUGUUGGAUUCCAAUAUUGACAACAGCCCUCAUCCUGUCCAUCACACCUAACAGUUUUUCUUUUUUUUUUAAUAAAUCAGCAAACAUUUUAACAAUUCCGUCUUUUUUUCCUGUAAAUAUGGGGUGCUGUGUGUACAUUGAAGAAAAGAAAUGAACUUAAAUGAUUUUAGCAAAUGGUUGCAAUACAACAGAGUGAAAAAUUUAAGGGUGUCCGAAUACUUUCCGUACCCACUGUA